rnacentral:lncRNA from 1 species
CCUCACUACCAAUGCAGUCUGAUCCCAGAGAUGCCAAGUAUCGGUGCAUACACAAACUACUAUGUGCCAGAUGAUGAGUAAGGCAACGGAGAUCAACUGACAGAAGAGAGGGUGCCUGCAGACCAGCAGCAGCAGCAGCAGCAGCAACACACCUCCAUUGACUAGCUCUGUGAAUGGGGACAUUUCUCAUCAUACCUGAACCUCAGGUAAGGGAAGGCUGGAAAUGCCCUAUUCUCUCUCACAUUCUCUUCUGGCCCUGUUCCCAGGGCACAUCCCAGACUGCUAAAAAAUCCAAAGUCCACCCUCCAGCCAAGCAAAUAGUGGCUGAAAACAACGUUGUUUUCUUUCCCUGCCACGGCUGGGAAAAACAAGCUAGCUGGAGUAACUCAUCACCUGGCAGGGUGACCUUCCCUUCUGUCAGCUUUUUGUUCUGCCAGUGCAAGGCCUGCAUGCAGUAGCUCUCUCUGGGCUGAGCAAGCCACUGAGGUGACUAGAUAAGGUAGAAGGGUGUGCCUGUCUGUGAUCCUACAUCCAUGAACAAAAGAUCCCCCGACCCAAUACUCAGCUUCCUUUGCCUGAAAGAUAUAGCUGGCUCACUGGGUGCCUGGUCUUUUCUUUAGCUCCAAAUGUCACAAGUAUAAGGAAAUCCACCAUCAGCUUGCUUACUAUAAAAAUGGGAAUGACACUCCCUACAGUAGCUAACGCAGGACUCGAGAAGAGAUGCAUGCCAAGUCUUGUACACAGAGUACCAGGCCUUUUGCUAGGUCUGUCAUGCUCAUCCAUCCCACACUGCACAGUGAGGAGAGUUCCCACACAAGAGUGGAACUUCGAAGAAACAACAGUCAAAAAUGCCAUCCAGGUCUGUCUGGCUACAAC